rnacentral:rRNA from 1 species
CACGGGGGGAGCAAGCGUUGUUCGGAAUUACUGGGCGUAAAGCGCGCGCAGGCGGCCCUUUAAGUCCGUCGGUCAAAUGCCGGGGCUCAACCCCGUGCCCGCCGCGGAUACUGGAGGGCUGGAGACACGUAGAGGCAAGCGGAAUUCCGGGUGUAGCGGUGGAAUGCGUAGAGAUCCGGAAGAACACCGGAGGCGAAGGCGGCUUGCUGGGCGUAGUCUGACGCUGAGGCGCGAAAGCGUGGGGAGCGAACAGG